rnacentral:rRNA from 1 species
CACACCGCCCGUCACACCAUGGGAGUUGAUUGCACCAGAAGUAGGUAGCCUAACCGCAAGGGGGGCGCUUACCACGGUGUGGUCAAUGACUGGGGUG